GCGGAGGGCCGGACGGCCGCGGCCGCGGUCAGGUCCGCAAGGAUACCGGCCGGGGUCGAGGAAAGUCCGGACUCCAUGAGGCAAGGGUGCCGGGUAACGCCCGGCGGGGGCAACCCCAGGGACAGCGCCACAGAGAAGAGACAGCCCCCGUUCCGGCGGGGGUGAUGGUGAAACGGUGGGGUAAGAGCCCACCGCGGGACUGGCAACAGGACCGGCACGGCAAGCCCCACCCGGAGCAAUGCCGAAUAGGGGUUCCGCGCCGCCGGGCGACCGGCGGCAGGGAGGUCUCAGCCCGAGGAACCCGGGUUGGCAGCUUGAUCCCGCCGGUAACGGCGGGGCCAGAGGAAUGGCCGUCGAAGGGGGCGACCCCGGAACAGAAUCCGGCUUACAGGCCCUCCGCGCAU
rnacentral:RNase_P_RNA from 1 species